rnacentral:rRNA from 1 species
CUACGGGCGGCUGCAGUGGGGAAUAUUGCACAAUGGGCGCAAGCCUGAUGCAGCAACGCCGCGUGAGGGAUGAAGGCCUUCGGGUUGUAAACCUCUUUUAGCAGGGAAGAAGCGAAAGUGACGGUACCUGCAGAAAAAGCACCGGCUAACUACGUGCCAGCAGCCGCGGUAAGUACGUAGGGUGCAAGCGUUGUCCGGAAUUAUUGGGCGUGAAAGAGCUCGUAGGCGGUUUGUCACGUCUGCUGUGAAAAUCCAAGGCUCAACCUUGGACUUGCAGUGGGUACGGGCAGGCUAGAGUGCGGUAGGGGAGAUGGGAAUUCCUGGUGUAGCGGUGGAAUGCGCAGAUAUCAGGAGGAACACCAAUGGCGAAGGCACAUCUCUGGGCCGUAACUGACGCUGAGGAGCGAAAGCGUGGGGAGCGAACAGGAUUAGAUACCCUCGUAGUC